rnacentral:rRNA from 1 species
GAUGAACGCUGGCGGCGUGCCUAAUACAUGCAAGUCGAGCGAAGCGGGGACGGGUGAGUAACCAGUGGAUAACCUCCUAUAAGACUGGGAUAGCUUCGGGAAACCGGAGCUAACCCUGAUACUUAUAGAUGGAUCCGCGCUGCAUUAGCUAGUUGUUAAGGUAACGGCUUACAAAGGCAACGAUGCAUAGCCGAACUGAGAGGGUGAGCGGCCACGCUGCAACUGAGACCCGGUACAGUCUCCUACGGGAGGCAGCAGUAGGGAAUCUUCCGCAAUGGGCGAGAGCCUGACGGGGCAACGCCGCGUGAGUGAUGAAGUUCUGCGGAUCGUAAAACUAUGUUAUUAGGGAAGCGGUACCUAAUCAGAAAGCCGCGGCUAACUACGUGCCAGCAGCCGCGGUAAUUC